rnacentral:rRNA from 1 species
UGGACGACAACUGACGCUGAGGCGCGAAAGCGUGGGGAGCAAACAGGAUUAGAUACCCUGGUAGUCCCACGCCGUAAACGAUGGAUACUAGGUGUGGGGGGACUGACCCCUUCCGUGCCGCAGUUAACACAAUAAGUAUCCCACCUGGGGAGUACGAUCGCAAGAUUGAAACUCAAAGGAAUUGACGGGGGCCCGCACAAGCAGUGGAUUAUGUGGUUUAAUUCGACGCAACGCGAAGAACCUUACCGGGAUUUGACAUCCCACUAACGAAGUAGAGAUACAUUAGGUGCCCUUCGGGGAAAGUGGGGACAGGUGGUGCAUGGUUGUCGUCAGCUCGUGUCGUGAGAUGUUGGGUUAAGUCCCGCAACGAGCGCAACCCUUAUUGUUAGUUGCUACGCAAGAGCACUCUAGCGAGACUGCCGUUGACAAAACGGAGGAAGGCGGGGACGACGUCAAAUCAUCAUGCCCCUUAUGUCCCGGGCUACACACGUAAUACAAUGGCGGUCAACAGAGGGAAGCAAAGCCGCGAGGCAGAGCAAAACCCUAAAAGCCGUCUCAGUUCGGAUCGCAGUCUGCAACUCGACUGCGUGAAGUUGGAAUU